GCUGUUUUGUGUUUAUUGGCUGCUGCUGCUGAAAAAUGGAGAAUCUAUUUCGACCGACUUAAGUGGUUACCAUAAUAGUGCGUUACUGAAUUCUGGUCUCAACAUAAAACCUCGCUCCAAAAUAUAUAUAAAUAUUUUCGCUGGCGUACAUAAAGUGCUUGGCAAUGAAUGUUCUGAUCCUGAGGAUCAUCUCGAUGCCCAAAGUGUCUGAACUCAAGUCUCCACUACGGCGAAUUCCGAGUAUAUAAUGAGUAACAUAUUCAUACAGAACAUAUCCAUGUGAUUAAGAUUUUUAUUUAAUGACUCUGCUACAAUCUACAAUCUAUUUAUAAAACA